CUCAUAGCUCAGUUGGUUAGAGCACCUGACUCAUAAUCAGGUGGUCGCAGGUUCGAGCCCUGCUGGGCC
rnacentral:tRNA from 1 species